GACGAACGCUGGCGGCGUGCUUAACACAUGCAAGUCGAACGGAAAGGCCCUGCUUUUGUGGGUUGCUCGAGUGGCGAACGGGUGAGUAACACGUGAGUAACCUGCCCUUGACUUUGGGAUAACUUCAGGAAACUGGGGCUCAUACCGCAUAGGAGCUCCUGCUGCAUGUUGGUGGUUGGAAAGUUUCGGCGGUUGGGGAUGGACUCGCGGCUUCUCCGCUUGUUGGUGGAGUAGUGGCUUACCAAGGCUUUGACGGGUAGCCGGCCUGAGAGGGUGACCGGCCACAUUGGGACUGAGAUACGGCGCAGAAUGGUACGGGAGGCAGUAGGGGGGAAUAUGGCAGAAUGGGGGGAAGCCUGAGGCAGCAACGCUGCGUGCGGGAUGACGGCUUUCGGGUUGUAAACAGAUUUCGACGGUGACGAAGAGUGAGUGACGGUAAUGGGUAAAGAAGCAACGGCUAACUACGUG
rnacentral:rRNA from 1 species